rnacentral:rRNA from 1 species
UACAGAGGUCUCAACCGUUGUUCGGAUUCAUUGGGCGUAAAGGGUGCGUAGGUGGCAGUGUAAGUCUGAUGUGAAAGCUUCGAGCUUAACUCGAAAAUGGCAUUGGGUACUAUAUUGCUGGAGGUUUGGAGGGGGGACUGGAAUUCUCGGUGUAGCAGUGAAAUGCGUAGAUAUCGAGAGGAACACCGGUGGCGAAGGCGAGUCCCUGGACAAGGCCUGACACUGACGCUCAGGCACGAAAGCGUGGGGAGCAAACAGG